rnacentral:tRNA from 1 species
UGGGAUUUAGCUCAGCUGCAUAAGCACCUGCCUUGCAAGCAGGUGGUCGUGGGUUUGAUCCCCAGUACCGA